CUGGGCUUGAACUGUAGAUGACAUCCGGCGAAAGUCGGCUCCCGCAAGGGCAUCUGCAGAGGUGCUGCAUGGCUGUCGUCAGCUCGUGUCGUGAGAUGUUGGGUUAAGUCCCGCAACGAGCGCAACCCUCGUCCUCUGUUGCCAUCAGGUCAAGCUGGGCACUCUGAGGAGACUGCCGGUGAUAAACCGGAGGAAGGUGGGGAUGACGUCAAGUCAGCAUGGCCUUUAUGUCCAGGGCUACACACGUGCUACAAUGGCCGGUACAAAGCGUCGCAAACUCGCGAGAGUGAGCCAAUCGCAGAAAGCCGGUCUCAGUUCGGAUUGUAGGCUGCAACUCGCCUGCAUGAAGUUGGAAUCGCUAGUAAUCGCGGAUCAGCAUGCCGCGGUGAAUACGUUCCC
rnacentral:rRNA from 1 species